AACCAUUCUCACCUGCGGCUAGACCUGCGGAGGGAUCAUUACAGAGUUGCAAAACUCCCACAAACCAUUGUGAACACACCCCCAAACCGUUGCCUCGGCGGGCGCGGACGGGCCCCCUGAAAGACGGGCGCCCCGAAGCGCUGUAGCCCGCCGGAGCCAAACGCAAACUAUUGUUUAACCACUGGCUUCUUCUGAGUAACGUACUUAAAUAAGUCAAAACUUUCAACAAUGGAUCUCAGA
rnacentral:misc_RNA from 1 species